AUUAGCAUAUGUAAAAAAAAUUUGAUUUAAUUCGUAAUGCUUCCUUAUCGCAGUUAAGUAACGUGAUUUUACAUAAGCAUUAAGACAAACAAAGGAUAUGUGUCACAACUUUUGAGUUGAGAUACAUACAUCCUUAAAAAUUGAAGAUGCAAAUAUAUGUAGCAUUAAACACUGAAGUUAAAAAAUUUCUGACCAUCAACAAGGCUAUAAUAUUAUAUCAGAAGAUCUUUAUUCGUAAGACACUUGUUAGUAAAAAAAUUUGUUUAAUGACAAUGGCGCUUCUAGAGGGUUAAUAUUUUACUGGAUUGGUUUCAAUAAUUUCAUCAUCAAAUUCAACUUGAUUGCUAUUUCAAAAUCCCCCAAAAAUAUUAAAUUUAUGAUUGAUUUAAAAAAAUCGAAAUGUUGACAAAUUCUAUAAUAUAUUGAUUUUAUAAAUGGACUUGUAAAGUUUAUCCUUUUUGUAUGUAAAUGUCAACUUAUUUUCUUUUUAAUGAUACGCACUUGAGUCAUUGUGCAUCGAGACAAGUUUCGCACCGCGUUCUGUCAGUAAGCCUCGCAAACGAUCCAAAGUCUAUCUUACGACAUCUUGUUUUUUUCGCGUCGACGUGCAGGUGCCCUUCGUUUCCGUCGCCCCACGUCAUUCAACAAAAGCAUAAACAUAAAAAAAUAAAAGUUAUUUAUUCUAAUUUUUCUAAUCGUUCGCGCAUGAUUGGCUUCAAGUAGCACGAACGAUUUUUCACACCUCGCGGCAGCGAAAAUCAGAUCGGAAAUCCGUCGGUCGUGUUCUUCAUGUCGCAAUCCGAAAGUAACAUCUCGCACGCGAGAGGAAAUCCCAGACGAGAAAGGGAAAAAGAGACUCUUUCUCUGUGGGAUCGCGAAAGUUUCGACAGUCCGCGGUCGCACCUCGUUGACAGUUCAGGCAGCUGGACGUAGGACGACGACGACGACGACGACGAGGAUGACGACGACGACGACGAACGAUCGCAUUAGUCGCCCGAGGGGACCGAAAUUCUGCGUUCUCCAAUGCGAGAAGACUAUAUAGUCAGAAGUAUGGCGAGGUCGGGCCCCGCGGCCCUUUUUUCUGCCACAAUGGCGUCGAAUCUGUGGGACCGUGCGUUAAUUCUUUUCUUCUCCUUUCUUUUCGAUCGCGUGUGUUAUUAACAGAUCGUUCGUAGCUCUGAAUAAUUUAGGGAGUGCACGGUAAUAUGUCUGACACCACGGAGAAAUUACGGAUCUUGGAAUCGUUUCUUUUUUUUUUUUAGCGAGAGCAUGAAACUCUUCGAGUUCUCGACGCGGACGUAAGUGAGAGAGAGGUGCGAGUUUCGACGUUAUUGCGAAUGAAAAAUGAUGGAGAGGAGAUACGUCUCGUGAUUAAAUAUCUCGGGCGAGAGAUAUGCGAUCGUUUCUCAUUCAAUAGCGAUCAAUCACGCGUUUCUGUCAUGACGCGCAAUUAUACGUCCGAUCUCAGUUGCACCCUGAGUACGGGACAGAUAGGAAAAAAAAAAAAGAGAGAGAGACCUACCAUUUAACAGCUAAUCGCGUUAUCUUUAAGAAAACUACUGUUGAUUCGAUAUCGAUGUCGUAUCUUUCUACAUCUAAAUUGCGAUCUCUAGAAUUAAUGAGUGUGACGUAAUAAUGUUCGAUAGUCAGUGUUAUUAGCGUAUACCUAAUAGCGCUAUGAUUAAUUGCAAACUGCCCUCGCGUAAAUCGUCGUGUUAGCCUUUUUCCUUUUUUUUUUUUCGCAACAUAGGUCAGUGAUAGGCUGAGUGAAAAGAGAACUCAUAAUUAAUUUAUGAAGAUCAUUAAUUGAACGUAUAAUUAAUAUCCUUAAAUCUUUCAUUGUACGUAGAGAUCUUCUGUACUUUAAUUCUAGAUGAAGAGCGCUUACUGGCAAGUAUUAAGGGCGAUGUUUGUUGUCUGAAACUAAACACGGAUACACAACCGUUCGCGGCGUCGAUCAAUUAAUUAAGCAGCGACACACGACGCGUUACUCAAGGGCGCCUGAUUAAUCGGGCAGUCUCGAACAGCGCAGCUACACCUCGUACAUGAUCUUAAGGGUUAAAGUACAUUUACGCUAACAAUUAAUAGGUAAUGAUUAAAGUUAGGCGGCGAAGUCGACUCCUCGCGAUAAUCGACUUAUUCAAGAGUAAUUACGAAUUCAUAAAACAGUGUCCGGUGUCGAUGCCGAAUACCGACAUCGAUCGCGUCGAAAUAACAUAGUUAUUUCGUAUCAAGGGGUAUCAUAUUUCAUUUUAAAUCUAUUCAUAUAAUUUUUGCAUCUUGCUUUACAUUCAUUUGAAGUCGUACGUGUGCGGCUGCGGCUGAGUAUAGAUUCUUCAAUUGAGUUCCAACGGGAGUUCGUCAGCGAAACGUAUACGUUAUUCGAUUCCGGGGUACACCGAAUCAAUUUUCCGGAAACCUUAAUUCGUCCGUAACAUCGCGAUUCGUUACACCGGAUUUCUCUCUCGCGGUACAUCACAUCGCGGAUUAGCCUCGACACGAUCGGUCGGUGGUGACGUAACGGCACUUUGUAUGCAAACCGCGUUCUCUCCUGGACUUUUUCAGCGCGAUGCCGUUUCAGAGAAAUAAAGAAAAAAAAAACGCGAGGAAAAAUUUGCAGAGGCGAGAGAGCACGGAGAAACGAGAAUAAUACAGAAUCCCAAGAACCGUCGACGAAACCGUUUAAUGUAUAUCUCUGGUGUAUAUAUAACGUAUACUAUGUGUCAUGCAUUCCUAGAUGUACUUUUCUCGUACGAGCGAAUACUUGUUCAGCUUCGCUAAACGACCGACGAAGGAGGAACGCCGCGAGAGCGAAACGUCCACGAGUGCAAACGUUCCCGGUUGGACAGACGAGACCUGCUACACGAAUAUUUUUCACGAGGAGCUAUCGAUUGCGGUCAGUUUUAUAGUUGCUCACGGCGGAUGAGCGCGUACGAGCGGCUACGAGCAAUGUUAGCCGGGGGGCAACCGGAAGUGGGCCGGAAACCAUCAAAGGGAACGACGAUAGAACACGAUUGCGCGAUUAGAAAGCCGGUUUCAUAUGCAUACGGUGCGGCGGACUAGUUAAAAAUUCGAUCGAUAAACCGCCUCUAACUUAACUCCCGUAUGCUGAAUAAUUAAAUCGCGAUGGAGGCCCUUCCCCGAUAGCAUUCUCGCAACGCUAGAGCGAACGAGGGUAACGUAGUUGUUAAGAAACGGAGCUACUUUUCGUGAUUUCCCAAGAUAGAGAGAAACGUGCGCCGAAUCCACAUGGAUAAACCGAUAAAACUUUUCGUCCUGAAAAAAGUCCUGUUUACUUUGUACAAUGCAUGUUUCCGUUAAAGGAAGAACUGUUAGCUCCUCGAAGUGCCCGCGGUUCAACUGUAACGAGACACGAAAGCGCGCGUGUAUCGUUUUUAUUCAUUAAAUCACAAGCGACUUCUUUCUGUGAAAAUUGCUUUCGUUUGUUCUGCACUGUACCGCUAUUUUCUGAAAAUUGUAUACUCGCAACAUGUCGACGUCUUCCCAAUACGGGAAAAUUCAGCCGGGAACGUUUCACUCGUUCGACCGCUGUACUCCAGCCUGAUUAUCCUCUUUCUGAUUGUGAGAGAUACACGCGACUCACUUCUCUGUAUUUUCAUCCGAGCCUGAUAACAGCACAACGACAUACCUCUCCUCUUUACUCGUAAAGCUCUUUGUAUGUAGCGUAUUCUAACUCGUGGAAGAAAGUGAAAUUUUCGAAAUCGCGAUCGAAUAAUGUGUGCGCGAGGUGUAUCCCUUCGACAUUUCGCUCUUCCAAUCGUGCUCUUACGAAAAUCGUAAUCUACACCAUUACGAAGCGAUCUAAAAAAGUAGAUCUCUUAAUCAGAUCCAAGUCAAUUCAGACAUUACUUGUACCUGAACGAAUUUUGAACUCGAAAAAGAGUUCAACUAAAUCGAAAAAAAAAAAACAAAAAACGGAAUCAACGAGAAAUUAUAUAAUCAUAGAUCAAAAGUGAAAAAAAUUGUAAAAAUCAAAAGUCUUGUGAAAUUGCGAGAUGUAUUCCUAAGUUUUGUAAUCUGAGUAUCGAAUGUUAUACUGCUGAAUUUUGCGACGCAGUUUAUAAACUCUGUACAUCAUUUGAAAUUAUUACUUCUCACUUGGAAAGGAAAAUUCUCUCGUGAUUUCUAAACUAAAGGCAAGCACUAGCUACACCGUUCCAUUUAUUUCGAAAGGAUACACCUACGGUCAGGAUGAGACGGAGCAACAAUACGACCGCAACCGCGAGAGAUUCGCAUAUCAAGUUGCAAAAAAGGCGAACAAUCGCGCCGUACGGGCGCGCACGAGCAUAGAGACGGGAAGACGAGACGGAGGGACAGAAAAGAUUUGGCCUAAUCUACGUCUCUAUCGAUAUAUAUGUUAUCUACUGUUUAAUCCACGUCGCUGCGAUAUAUAUAUAUAUAUGUAUAUAUACGCAUUGUGCGGUAUACGAUGCCCGGCGGGAAAGAAAGCGCGAGGCGUCUGUAUUAAAAUCCCCGAGCCCAUCAUAUCCACCGCCAUGCAGAUAUACCGCAUAAUGCGUUAACAACGUUCACCUGACAUCUGACAUCGCGCACACACUCGUCCGCACACGCACACGUAUACACGCACGGACACACGUGGCUCUCGAUGCACUCCGGCGAUGAUCACACAGCGUAUUGCGACACAAAACGUAUACAAACAGACGCGAAAGCACUCGCAAUACGAACGCAAUCCGACGAGCGUGAGCGCGACACUCGCGCACCUUUUCUCGUCAUCCUAUCAU